rnacentral:ncRNA from 1 species
UUGACAGGGGAGCUUGUGGGACAGGCUGAGAGGAAGCUUUAAGCUUCGACCCUUUACCUGAUACGGGUAAUGCCGUCGUAGGGAGAGGAU